CCUACGGGAGGCAGCAGUGAGGAAUAUUGGUCAAUGGUCGGGAGACUGAACCAGCCAAGCCGCGUGAGGGAGGAAGGUACAGAGUAUCGUAAACCUCUUUUGUCAGGGAACAAAGGCGGGGACGUGUCCCCGGAUGAGUGUACCUGAAGAAAAAGCAUCGGCUAACUCCGUUCCAGCAGCCGCGGUAAUACGGAGGAGGCGAGCGUUAUCCGGAUUUAUUGGGUUUAAAGGGGGCGCAGGAGGUCGGUUAAGUACGCGGUAAAAGCACGGGGCUCAACCCCGGCCCGCCGUUGAAACUGGCAGUCUCGAGUUGGAGAGAAGUAUGCGGAAUGCGCGGUGUAGCGGUGAAAUGCAUAGAUAUCGCGCAGAACUCCGAUUGCGAAGGCAGCAUGCCGGCUCCACACUGACGCUGAGGCACGAAAGCGUGGGUAUCGAACAGGAUUAGAUACCCGGGUAGUC
rnacentral:rRNA from 1 species